rnacentral:rRNA from 1 species
CCUACGGGAGGCAGCAGUAGGGAAUCUUUCACAAUGGGCGAAAGCCUGAUGGAGCAACGCCGCGUGCAGGGUGAAGGCCUUCGGGUUGUAAACUGCUUUUAUAAGCGAGAAAUAUGAUGGUAACUUAUGAAUAAGGAUCGGCUAACUACGUGCCAGCAGCCGCGGUCAUACGUAGGAUCCGAGCAUUAUCCGGAGUGACUGGGUGUAAAGAGUUGCGUAGGUGGCAUAAUAAGUAGCUAGUGAAAUCUGGUGGCUCAACCAUUCAGACUAUUAGCUAAACUGUUAAGCUCGAGACCGUUAGGGGUAACUGGAAUUUCUAGUGUAGGAGUGAAAUCCGUAGAUAUUAGAAGGAACACCAAUAGCGUAGGCAGGUUGCUGGGACGGUUCUGACACUAAGGCACGAAAGCGUAGGGAGCAAACGGGAUUAGAUACCCCAGUAGUC